GUUGGGGUAGAGUUAUAACAAGCAUAAUGUUGGUAGAGUGGUAGCUGAUAAAUUUACAUAUAAUUAAAUGUAGCUCUAAAUUUGGCCUUAAAUUCCUCUGAAAGCAUGAUUAAAUCUCCUGCAUCAUGACCAAAUAUAUGACCGUGAUCUUGCAUGAAAGGUGUAUAUUAAGGUGGCUCUUAAAGACCAAUAUACAAGUUGAUAUCACACAUCAAUUUUUCUGCUUAUAGAAAGAGUUGCUCUGUCUCUUUGCCCCUAGAAAUCCCCAGCAACUGAAUGGUUCUCAACUGGGGCAUGUUGACUGCAUACUCCUCUCCUCAGGUGAAGCAAUUAGCAAAGGAUUUGAUGGGCACUGCAGUAUGACCUUGAAGCUGUCACUUCCUGUGAGUUUCCUGGAGGUUUGGAAUGACUUCAAAAUCUAUGAAUCUGAAAUAUUCAAAAAGGUCAGCAUCACAGCAAGAAAUGCUGAGAAAAGCUAUCAGAUUAGGAUUGCUAAAAGCAGAGGCAAAAAAGAUUUGCAGCUUUCAUGUAGUCUGUGGCCUUAACAAUCCACUGAAGCUUUUGGCAGGAGAUUGGGCACAAGCCAACAUUAGCCAUUGCUUAGCUAUUCUAUUUAUCUGUUUCUUGUUCAACUUGUUCAUGCACAAACAACAAAGAGAAGGAUUCUACAGAUCACAAGAAAGGAUCAAAUGUAUGGAGGGGGGAAAAAAAGGCUAAGUGUGAAGGAUGGGAAGAAGAACAGCAUAGAGAAAGUCCAAUUCAUGUCCUUCAAAAUAGGGGAUCUAAUAAAAGUAUGAAAGACCAAGCUUAAAAAAUAUGUCUAGACCUAUGUAAUAAAGAAAGAAGCAAGAGUCCUGCCUCUAAUAUGAAUUCUCUCAACUUAGCAUUAUGGCAGAGCCAUAAAUCAAUAUGACUGUAAACAUCUGUGAGCUCCCUGGGAAAUAUAUCCUGGGCAGCAUGAGAGCUAAGACAUUUGCAAAAAAAUCCCAAGCCCAUUAAAGUAAUCCAAGUGACAAAAAAUGUAAUGGGCUGGGAUUUUCAGCUUUCUUCUUACACUC